rnacentral:rRNA from 1 species
UACGUAGGGGGCGAGCGUUGUCCGGAAUUACUGGGCGUAAAGAGAGCGUAGGCGGCACUACAAGUCUCAUGUGAAAUACCCGGGCUUAACUUGGGGGUUGCAUGGGAAACUGUAGAGCUUGAGUACAGGAGAGGCAAGCGGAAUUCCUAGUGUAGCGGUGAAAUGCAUAGAUAUUAGGAGGAACACCAGUGGCGAAGGCGGCUUGCUGGACUGAAACUGACGCUGAGGCCCGAAAGCGUGGGGAGCAAACAGG